rnacentral:rRNA from 1 species
UAGGGAAUCUUCGGCAAUGGACGAAAGUCUGACCGAGCAACGCCGCGUGAGUGAAGAAGGUUUUCGGAUCGUAAAACUCUGUUGGUAGAGAAGAACGUUGGUGAGAGUGGAAAGCUCAUCAAGUGACGGUAACUACCCAGAAAGGGCGGCUAACUACGCGCCAG